GAUGAACGCUGACAGAAUGCUUAACACAUGCAAGUCGAUGGGGAAGUGGUGCUUGCCCCAUGGCAACCAUGGCGGACGGGUGAGUAACGCGUAAGGGACUUACCUGCAGGACUGGGAUAACAGGGGGAAACUCCUGACAAGACCGGAUAAUGUCAUGGAGCUGCAUGGCUUUAUGAUGAAGGGAGACGCCUGCGGAGAGCCUUGCGUCCUAUUAGCUAGUUGGUGAGGUAAUGGCUCACCAAGGCGAAGAUAGGUAGCCGGCCUGAGAGGGUGGACGGCCACAAGGGGACUGAGAUACGGCCCUUACUCCUACGGGAGGCAGCAGUGGGGAAUAUUGGACAAUGGGGGCAACCCUGAUCCAGCAAUUCUGUGUGCACGAAGAAGGUUUUCGGAUUGUAAAGUGCUUUCAGCAGGGAAGAAGUAAGUGACGGUACCUGCAGAAGAAGCGACGGCUAAAUACGUG
rnacentral:rRNA from 1 species